rnacentral:snRNA from 1 species
AUCUUUGCGCUUGGGGCAAUGACGCAGCUAGUGAGGUAAAACCGAGGCGCGUCAAUUGCUGGUUGAAAACUAUUUCCAACCCCCCUCGUCGGCCUGGGCCACGCCUUGGCCCUCGAGAAUUUUUGAAGGGCUCGCCUUUUGCUCGGGC